rnacentral:SRP_RNA from 1 species
GCUGGGAGUAAUAACACAUACCUGUAGUCCCAUCUACUUGGGAGGCUGAGGCAGGAGGAUCACUUGAGCCCAGGAGUAUGAGACCAGCUUGUGCAACAUAGGGAAACUCCUGUCUCUACAAAAAAUUUAAAAAUUAGCUGGGUGUGGUGGUGCACACCUGUGGUCAGCAUCAAUAUGGUGACUUCCCAGGAGUGAGGGUCCAUCAGCCUGCCUAAGGUGGAGUAAACCAGCCCAGGUCAGAAAGGGAGCUGGUCAAACUCCCAUGCUGGUUAGUAGUGGGAUCAUACCUGUGAAUAACACUGCACUCCAGCCUGGGAAAUAUAGCAACAACCUGUCUU